rnacentral:lncRNA from 1 species
ACCUUUAAAACCACAUUUUUUACAAGUAACAAAUGGUGAACAAUAAAGUGGUUUAUGCCUUGAUUUACUAUUAAUCAUUCUAAUAUUAUUAUUAGUCCUAUUUUCCACAUUUUUAAUAGGAUUAUACUCAAUCCCUUGUUUAUCAAGACUGGACCUUUGUGCCCCUAACAUAACAUUUAGGUUCUCUUCUCCUUGCACAAAUUUAGUAAGAUCAUUUUUUAAAGAU